UUUUCCUGUAAAUACGGCAGUGAAGUUAGUUUUAGGUUGGAUAUAUUUUCCUGUAAAUACUGCGGUGAAGUUAGUUUCAGGUUGGAUAUAUUUUCCUGUAAAUACUGCGGUGAAGUUAGUUUCAGGUUGGAUAUAUUUUCCUGUAAAUACGGCGGUGAAGUUAGUUUCAGGUUGGAUAUAUUUUCCUGUAAAUGCGGCGGUGAAGUUAGUUUCAGGUUGGAUAUAUUUUCCUGUAAAUACGGCGGUGAAGUUAGUUUCAGGUUGGAUAUAUUUUCCUGUAAAUACGGCGGUGAAGUUAGUUUUAGGUUGGAUAUAUUUUCCUGUAAAUAUGGCGGUGAAGUUAGUUUUAGGUUGGAUAUAUUUCCCUGUAAAUACGGCGGUGAAGUUAGUUUUAGGUUGGAUAUAUUUUCCUGUAAAUACGGCGGUGAAGUUAGUUUUAGGUUGGAUAUAUUUUCCUGUUAAUACGGUGGUGAAGUUAGUUUUAGGUUGGAUAUAUUUUCCUGUAAAUACGGCGGUGAAGUUAGUUUUAGGUUGGAUAUAUUUUCCUGUAAAUACGGCGGUGAAGUUAGUUUUAGGUUGGAUAUAUUUUCCUGUAAAUACGGCGGUGAAGUUAGUUUCAGGUUGGAUAUAUUUUCCUGUAAAUACGGCGGUGAAGUUAGU